GAAAGCUUUUAAUAUAACCGUUGGAAGUCGAAAGGGUUGGCUUCGUAUUCCCGCAAUAUAUUCGUUCCCGCUCUCAACAGACCCAAACCCCUGACGAUCUCUCUAACUCCUCCGCUCCCCGGAGUCCAAAACACCACCUUACUUCCUUCGCCGGAGAUCUAAGAUACCCUUUGAAUUCGAAAGAAUUGGUUUGUGGUCGCGCGUUCUUCGGUCAUUCCGCCAGACCCAUAGCGAUCUAUGUAACUCCACUGCCGGAGACCUAAACACCCCCAACCUCGCGCAGGAAACUCUGAUUCAUCUCUCUAGUCCAAGAAAUUAUCAAGAUCAUCGGGUUUUCUGCUAUUGAGAUGUGAUUUAUUUUCCUGUACACAUAAAGUUUAAUGUAUGGACAUGAAAUCUAAGUCUAUCAGAUCACGAUGCUUUAGUCAACAAUCUUCCCUCGUAUUUCUGUUUGGUUAAAAAUAGUAUGUGGUUUUAGGGAAGAUGAAAAUCAAAGCCUUUGCAAUUCACGGAUGAGGACUGGAAACAACUGAAUGACAUUAAUUAUUGGAUACAAGGAAGGUGAUAAUGAUGAACAGUCUGGGAAUAAAGAUGACUUCCACAUGAAACAUAAUUAUGCUUCAAAACUUACUGAAGUUCAUGAGUUUGUUGCUGACUUAUAAUGUGAGUGGGCUAUGGAUGGAUGCUUUACAAAGCUCACACAUGGGGAUAAGGUCUUCUCUCAGAGGGAUAAUGAGAUUCACAACAGUAUUUAAAAAUACAAGGUCAUUUGAAAAGCUUAAUAAUUUGGUUGUUAAUUUUCAUAAUGCUACUGUGGUUGCUAGGGUUGUUGGAGUGCUUAAAAUUCUUGGGUUAAAAGGGAAAAAGUGAGCCAUCUGUGACAGAAGAUGAACUCAAGCUGAUGUUUAGGGUUGCAGAGUUGAUGAAGAAGAGCAAGCAUGCAUAAAUAAAGAUAUGAUUGAGAAUGUGUUGGAGAUAAAAGGCACCCAUGUGAAGGAUGUUUUAUAAGUCUCCUCUUGUAGAUGUAGUUACGGUUGAUUCUUGGUUGGUUUUCAUCACUUAUUCAGUGAAUUAUAAUAUUCUAAUAGUCACCAAUUAUUUGAAGAUGAGUUUGAAGGCAUCUGACACUUAAAUUGAGACACGUAGGCAUUCUUUUUGGAAUUCAUAUUCAGUGCUUGCUGGUGUAGAUACUUAAUCUUCCUUAUGCUGAUUGAGAAAUAGCAAGAUACUUUCAGUUCUUAAUCCAGGUAUGUUCUUUCUACUAAAAAUAUACCAAAUAUAGCAUUGCACUUUAAGUUUUUCUUAUUUUAAGAACAUUUUCCUUUGAAAAAUAAACCCAACUUUAGCAUUGCACUUUUCAGUUUUCUUUCAUUUGAAAUUUCAAUAAAUUUCCAAUCAAACCAUUUUAAUUUAAAAAGUACACCAAAUUUAGCAUUGCACUUCCAGUUUUCAUAUUAUAUGCAUAUAUAUAUAUAUCCCUUUGAAAAAUAAACCCUACUAUUUGCAUUUCAGUUUUUUUGUUAAAAGAUUGUAACUUUGUAAUUUUUUUUUUUCAUAUCAAGGCAUUUUACUUUGAAACAUCUACCGGUUAUAGUAUUGCACUUUGCAUUUUAUUUUUAAAAGCAUGUUUCUAUUUGAAAAUUCAACCGGUUUAUAACAUUGCAAUUUUUAGUUUUCAUUUGUGACAACAUUUCAACUUUAAAAGUCUAUACAUUUUUUCCUUAUCUAGACAUUUUACUUUGAAAAAUCCACCACUUUUAGUAUUGUACUUUCAUUAGCCUGUUACUUAAUCAGUUCAUGUUGCUUUACACCACAUCUUGUAUCUUUAGGUUCUACCUAUUUUUGAUAUGUUUUAGGGCACAAACAGUUUAUGUCAAGGAAAAUGUAUCAUUUCAUACAACUCAGUAUGCCAUAGAGUUGAUCAAACAAAGUUCUUCACUAUUUGUUGUAAUGUCCUAUUUUUCUAAAGUACUAUUUUAGUUUUUUGUAAUGUCCCUUUCACUUCCCUUUUCAAGCACCAUGAUGAAAUUUCAAGGGAAUUUCUCUCUUUCCUUAAAAACUAUUGUUAUAUAUGUUGAAGGAGCAUAACUAAACCCUAAAUCCUUAAAACUAGAAUCUUCUUGAAAAUAUGGCAACUCAUUUCAUUACUUUUCUUAAAAAGUAUGUCAUAUAUGUUUAAGGAGCAUAACUAUACCCGAAUCCCUUAAAAGGUUCUCUACAAAAAGAAUAUUUUUUGAAAUUUUGGUACUUGUUUCAUGGUUUUAGUCAACAAUCUUCCCUCGUAUUUCAGUAUUCAUUGUUUUUGUUUCUGUUUCUGUUUGAUUAAAAAUAUGCAAACACACUAGACUGAGUGCAUGGUUUGGUUAACUUUACAAAGGCAACUACAUUCCAUUAUCAAAGUAGUGAACAAUGUUGAAGAAGCCAUAGAACAUAUACACAUCAUUGGAAGGUAAUUUAGGUAAAUAUUCAUCUUUGUUGGGGGUAUUGUAUUAAAUUUUUUUUUUUCAAUUUCAGUUCCUACACUGAGUGCAAUGUAACUUUCUUUUUCCAUUUCUUUCUUUUUGACAUGCAACUCUGUUGCUAUUUUGUGUAAAAAAUAAAGUUACUUGCACAUAUUGGUAAAAAGAGUAAAGUAUGUUACUCAUCUAACAAAUCCUCUUUUUGUGGCUUUUUGAUAGAAGAAUAACUUAACUGGAGCAGUUAAGAGCACCUACAAAUCUUGAAAAAAGCUAAAUGUCUCACUAUUAUGCGUCUGGAUGCCAAACUAUUUGAUAGAAUAACCUCAACACAUGUUGCAUUCAUUCAACCUUCAGUUCUUACAUAUAAAAAAGCAAUGUGUUACAUUAUGUUAUGAACCAAUAGUGAAUGGUUUGGUUACCUUUUACUAAGGCAACUACAUUCCAUUUUGGAAGUAGUGAACAAUGUUGAUGAAGUAUGACAAUCAGAUUUCUCAAGAAAGUUGAUUGUGGCAAAUUGCCAAGACACUGAGAAAUAGCAAAACACUUUCAGUUCUUAAUCCAGGUCUAAAAUGAUACAGUAGUUACUACUUCAGAAGACAAUCAUUCGGGCAGUGGGCAGAGGCAAAAAACUCACAACCCUGCCCGAGAUUUUUCGGUCAAGUUUUAGAAAAAUUGUUUCUUGUGACAAGGAAUGCCUGGAAAACAACUUCCCAACACUUCUGUGACAGCUUUGUUGAUUUUUAUAUAUGCUGUUGGAACCAGUCAACAACCCAUUAGUUCAAACAAAACAACAGCUUGAAUUACUUCUUCUGUUUCCGUUAGAUUCCAAUCCAAUUCAAAAGGCAAGUAAAUUUACUCUUCUACCCUCACAAACUACAAUGCUAGUUACAAUUUAUGACAUGGUUUCAGUUAAUUUGAAUACAAUAAAACAAUAAGGUUAUGGGAGGUGUUAUGGAAACACUAUAUAGUGAACACCUUGCAUUUAUACGGAGCCAAUGUGGUUGACGAAUCUUGUUGAUGAGUCAACGCAGACUGCAACUGACGAGAGAACUCGGACUUGUUCUGUAAGUGAACGUCAUAGCUAUGGUGUCUUGUUCAAGUCAUCCACAAAGACAUCAAAAUGAAAGUGACAUGUGAAAGAAAGGUCACACAAAAGAUAAAGAGAAAUGUCAGCUCCACUUUUCUUUUCUUUCUCAUAUGACACCUUAGCCUCUCUAUUUUCUAGACUCUCUUUAUUUAGUUCUACACUAUGAGACCCUACCUCAUUAUUCCCUUAUAAAAGCAAGGCCAUCAGGAAAAGUCUUAUGGGUUGAUCCUGUCAGCUCAAAGUCAAAAAGUAGAUUUGAUUGUCAAUUGAACGGUAUUUAGGUCCAAAUUGUUCAAAGAAAGAAUUUAUAUUCAAGAAAGAAAAAGGAUGCAUGAAACAAUGUUUAUAGUUGUUCAAUGUCUUGGAAAGAUGCUUGCUCCUAUUAUGUGACAUGACAUCUCCUUUGUUAUGGAGUGUGUUCACAUGAUUCUUUAUGUGGCACACAGUCUAACAGUGGAGGUCCCAGAAAGAGAAACAAAUUGGGAAUUGGACAAUUUCAGAAGACGAAUUACGAGAAACUGUUGAAAUUGGGGUUGCUAUCGGUUUUCAAAUCGAUGUGCACAACCAAGUCCUUACUGAAGUCGUGGGAUGUACCGGUGAUAAUCACGGUUCCAAAUGAAUUGCAUGCCACUUAAUGUUAGAGGAAUUGGAGAGGCGGUGAAAGUCAAUUGGGUUAGAAGAUUAAAAAACCUCCAUAAGGUCAGCUUCAUAGGCAUUCUGGAGACUCAACUCACUGACCAUGAAGACAUUGACGUUAUGGUAAUCUGGAUGCAUACCUAGCUGCAAAGUUACGGUACUUGAAGACGGAAAUCAAAAAGUGGAUCAAACAGUUCACAAAGAAGAAAAAAAGGAGUUGAAUCUUAUUAAGAACACAGUUGCUCAUCUAGAAAAAAUGGCGGAGACAAGAACUUUAACUCGGUCUGAACUCAACAGGCGAAGUGAAGGCUUACAAAAGAUAUUAGAAAUGGAGAAAAUUGCGGUGUUAGACUUGAAACAAAUAUCAUGUGUGAAAUGGUUGGUGGACGGAGAUGAAAACACAAAACUUUCCAAUGGGUAUAUCUACAACAGGAAUAAGAGCAGCAUAAUUAACGGUUGUUGGUGAAUGGCAAAUGGACUACUAAGGUGGAGGAGGUCAAAUGUGAAGUACUUCGGUUUUUCCAAAACAAAUUUAAAGAAAAAUGGAUUUUGAGGCCCAAAUUUGUUAGUCCAAACUUCAAGUCCUUGACUAUGGUGGAAGCUAUAAAAUCGAAUCUCCAUCUGUCCGAAUAAAUAAAAAUGUUUUUGUCAUUUGUCCUAUUUUUAUAAGUUUUGACAAAUGUCAAUUUUUGGUAAUUUUAAAUUAAAUUUUAUCCACGUUUCAUA